rnacentral:ncRNA from 1 species
CUUGAAAAAAUGAUGAAGAAAACUCACGCUUGCAUUGACACUCUAGAGAUAAGUCAGAGAGAAAUUCUAGAGAAGCACUCUAGCCAAUACUACUGCCUAACGAGGAUCCAUUGGAGGGUAAGUCUGGUGUCAGCAGCCGCAGUAAUUCCAGCUCCAAUAGCGUAUAUUUAAGUUGUUGCAGUUAAAAAACUCGUAGUUAUACUUUGGGAUGGGCCGGCUGGUCCUCUUAUUGGGGUUGCUCUUAGAGUUCAGACUGUGAUAGGAUUUAGUUUAAAAAUUAACUUUGUAGACAACUGAGGAAUUAAAAAAAAAAAAUUGCUUUACAAACAAUUAUAGGACAAAACUCCGUAUAAUUAAGAGAUAACAAGUAUUACUCCG